CCAAGCCCCCAACCCAAGUUUACUGCAAGGGUCAGAGUCUCUGAAUCUCUACUACACCACAGGGUUGUCAAUUGACUCAUGCCCUCUUCAGAUAUUUACUAUAGUUUACUUCUCCUAUUCAUUUAACAAGAUGUCAGUGAUGCCUCAUCAGAUUCAGUGAAAGGCAAGAUGUAAGAGAACCUAAGACAAUAAGGAAAAAAAGGUGAAUAUGGAACAAAUUGCCAAGAAAUUGCAGAAGAGCAGUUGACGAAUUUUGUGAUAAGUCAUCAACUUAGUGAUAAGCUAACAGGUCCAUUGUCAGUUGGAGGCAGUAUGAUGAAGUUAGAGCAGAAGUGUGACGACAUUCCCUGAUAUGUCGUCAUAAAUUUGAUAAGAUAUCAAGAGUGUCGUCAGCCUUAGACAGAGAAUGGACUUCAACUGGAAUCCAUGACGACAUAGUUGAUAAAUCAUGAAAGUUCUGAUAAGCCAUCAAGUUUUGUUGUCAGCCUAAAGCAGAGAAUGGACUUCAGCUGGAAUCCGUGAUGACAUUGGUGAUAAAUCAUCAAAGUUCUGAUACGACGUCAAGUUUCAUCAUCAGCCAAAAGCAGAAAAUAUCAAAAUUGAAGAGGAUCUGACGACAUUCCUGAUAAAGCGUUAGAACCCUGAUAAGGUGUCACGCAUGUCAUCAUCUAUUCUGAGAAAAAACUGUAAUAUGUGAUUUUGUUUCCAUAAUUAGACUAAGUAUUUAAUGACAAGUCUAGGUUUUCUUUAAGAGUUUGAGUCAUCUAAGGGACGAAUUUUGGAAAUUUUAAUUUCAAAUUUCCUAAGUUACAGCUAUAAAUAGCAGCUUUUAGGGUUUCAU